rnacentral:rRNA from 1 species
GAUGAACGCUGGCGGCAUGCCUAAUACAUGCAAGUCGAGCGAACAGACGAGGAGCUUGCUCCUCUGACGUUGUCGGCGGACGGGUGAGUAACACGUGGUUAACCUAACUAUAAGACUGGGAUAACUUCGGGAAACCGGAGCUAAUACCGGAUAAUAUAUUGAACCGCAUGGUUCAAUAGUGGAAGACGGUUUUGCUGACACUUAUAGAUGGAUCCGCGCCGCAUUAGCUAGUUGGUAAGGUAACUGCUUACCAACGCAACGAUGCGUAGACGACCUGAGAGGGAGGACGGCCAGAUUGGAUCAGAGACACGUCACAGACACUGACGGGGGGCAGCAGCAGGGACUCCUCCGGGAGGCGGCAGUGGGUGAUGUUGCAAAGUCGCGUGAGGGCUGAUGGUGUUAGGCUGGGUGAAUGCUGUUGUUAUGGAAGUACAAAUGCGCAUGUACCUAUGAUCGUAUUGACGGUACCGGAUCAGAAAGCUACGGCUAACUCCGUG